GUUGCUUCUUGCUGGUGACUCCCUUUAUGAAGGUGAGGAAAUUGCUUCACUUCAGAAGCAUGGAUUGAUGACUUCUUGUCAUAAUUAAGCAUCAUUGUCCGUUAAUCUUGUUGCACUGUUUUACCUGUCUCCUGGUACAUUU
rfam:Vitis vinifera, whole genome shotgun sequence of line PN40024, unoriented chromosome 8, chr8